CGCAUCUGUGCAUGCAGCAUAUCAAUAAGCGGAGGAAAAGAAACUAACAAGGAUUCCCUUAGUAACGGCGAGUGAAGCGGGAAGAGCUCAAAUUUGAAAUCUUCAAGGUUUUACCUUGACGAAUUGUAGUUUAAAGAAGUGUUUUCUGUUGUAAGUUUUGGUAAAAGUUCUUUGGAAUAGGACAUCAUAGAGGGUGAGAAUCCCGUAUUUGACCAUUAUUUUCAGCUGUGUGAUACACUUUCAAAGAGUCGGAUUGUUUGGGAAUGCAGUCCAAAAUGGGUGGUAAAUUUCAUCUAAAGCUAAAUAUUGGCGAGAGACCGAUAGCGAACAAGUACCGUGAGGGAAAGAUGAAAAGAACUUUGAAAAGAGAGUUAAACAGUACGUGAAAUUGUCAAAAGGGAAGCGUUUGACACCAGUGUUGUUUUCUCGAAAAUCAAUUAAAAAGAGUUAGAUUUUGUUGUGUAUUGACCUUAACAGCUUGCAUUUCUAUUUUCUUGCUUUUUUUAAUGCACUUUUCGUUUAACAAGUCAACAUCAGUUUCUUUUGUUGUAAAAAGGUCAUUGGAAGGUGGCUUUCUUUUCGGAGAAAGUGUUUAUAGCCUUUGACUCCUGCAAUCGGAGAGACUGAGGUCUGCAGCGUAGAUCCUUCGGGGUUAGAUACAUUUGUGCUAAGUUAUAGCUUUUUAUAGACAACUUGUUGACUAUGAUUAGUCUUGUAGCUUACUCGCUUAUGCUAUUUUACCUACGCUUAGGAUGUUGACGCGCGUGUGUGCGUG
rnacentral:rRNA from 1 species